rnacentral:rRNA from 1 species
GCGAACGGGUGAGUAACACGUGGGUGAUCUGCCCCUGACUUUGGGAUAAGCCUGGGAAACUGGGUCUAAUACCGGAUAUGACCAUGGGAUGCAUGUUCUGUGGUGGAAAGCUUUUGCGGUUGGGGAUGGGCCCGCGGCCUAUCAGCUUGUUGGUGGGGUAAUGGCCUACCAAGGCGACGACGGGUAGCCGACCUGAGAGGGUGAUCGGCCACACUGGGACUGAGACACGGCCCAGACUCCUACGGGAGGCAGCAGUGGGGAAUAUUGCACAAUGGGCGCAAGCCUGAUGCAGCGACGCCGCGUGAGGGAUGACGGCCUUCGGGUUGUAAACCUCUUUCAGUAGGGACGAAGCUUCGGUGACGGUACCUGCAGAAGAAGCACCGGCCAACUACGUGCCAGCAGCCGCGGUAAUACGUAGGGUGCGAGCGUUGUCCGGAAUUACUGGGCGUAAAGAGCUCGUAGGCGGUUUGUCGCGUCGUCUGUGAAAUUCUGCAACUCAAUUGCAGGCGUGCAGGCGAUACGGGCAGACUUGAGUACUACAGGGGAGGCUGGAAUUCCUGGUGUAGCGGUGAAAUGCGCAGAUAUCAGGAGGAACACCGGUGGCGAAGGCGGGUCUCUGGGUAGUAACUGACGCUGAGGAGCGAAAGCGUGGGUAGCGAACAGGAUUAGAUACCCUGGUAGUCCACGCCGUAAACGGUGGGUACUAGGUGUGGGUUCCAUUUCACGGGAUCCGUGCCGUAGCUAACGC